AUGCAUGUAUGUAAUGGACUCUCCUGUCAAAGACAAUGUAUGAAUGCUCAGCUUUUGUGGAACAACCUGCACAAAUAAUUUGUUUAUAGUGAUC